rnacentral:rRNA from 1 species
CCUACGGGAGGCUGCAGUAGGGAAUUUUCGGCAAUGGGGGGAACCCUGACGGAGCAACGCCGCGUGAGCGAAGAAGUAUUUCGGUAUGUAAAGUUCUUUUAUUGGGGAAGAACGAGAACUUUGACGGUAACCAGUGAAUAGGCUCCGGCUACAUACGUGCCAGCAGCCGCGGUAAUACGUAGGGAGCGAGCGUUAUCCGGAAUUAUUGGGCGUAAAGGGUGAGUAGAUGGUGUAUAUAAGUCUUGGGUAAAUAUGCUAGGCUAAAGUUAGAAGUGCCAAAGAUACUGAUGCACUAGAGUACGUCAGAGGCUAGUGGAACUACAUGUGUAGCGGUAAAAUGCGUAAAUAUAUGUAAGAACACCGGUGGCGAAGGCGACUUGCUGGCCCUUGACUGACAUUGAGGCACGAAAGCGUGGGUAGCAAACAGGAUUAGAUACCCGAGUAGUC